rnacentral:tRNA from 1 species
GGGGACGUAGCUCAAUUGGGAGAGCACGUGGUUUGCAACCACGAGGUUGCCGGUUCGAUCCCGGUCGUCUCCA